GGAAUCCCGUGAAAGCCGGGAGCAGUUGCGCUGCUGUAACUGGAAACGAGGUCCCAUCCGCAAGGAGGCCAAUCUUUGGAAACAAAGGUGAAGGCCGGGGCCGAGGCAAUACAAAGCGUCCAGGAGCCAGAAUAC
rnacentral:ncRNA from 2 species